rnacentral:rRNA from 1 species
UACGAAGGGGGCUAGCGUUGCUCGGAAUCACGGGGCGUAAAGGGUGCGUAGGCGGGGCUUUAAGUCAGGGGUGAAAUCCUGGAGCUCAACUCCAGAACUGCCUUUGAUACUGAGGAUCUUGAGUUCGGGAGAGGUGAGUGGAACUGCGAGUGUAGAGGUGAAAUUCGUAGAUAUUCGCAAGAACACCAGUGGCGAAGGCGGCUCACUGGCCCGAUACUGACGCUGAGGCACGAAAGCGUGGGGAGCAAACAGG